AUAUGAUGUCCAGCACCCUAUAUAGAGUCCAUUGGUCCAAAAUCCACUAUACAGAGUCCAGGAGUCCACUCAGUUUUGAUCAGCUUCAUCCUGCCGCGCAAUCCCCUAUAAGGAGUACACUUUUUCUACAAGUCCCCUAUUCACAGUCCAGAAGUCCAGUUUAUCCAGUCACGCCGUCCUGUGUGUUGUGCCCGAAAGAGAACAAACACAUUUUCAGUUUUGCUUGCCUCGUGGCAGCGUAUUCCUUUCUUCACUUCAGCCAUAUGGCCAUGGCUGCCAGUUCUGCUGUGCAGUUGCUGACAGUAAUCUGUCUCGAGGUAACCAAGGAGGAUAAGGAUACGUUCAAAAUCAAAUCUGGAAAGCGUCUUGUGGUUCUCUGAAGACGUUUCAUCAGUGCGCGGGAUGAAAGCAGAAAUUGCAGAACGAGAAAAGUCAUUCAAAUCUGACGAGUCAGGUACAUUGACGCUCUCUUUCGUUCGACGCCACAAGGAUCCCCUGUUUGGCUGGCCAUUGCUGCCAGUAAGACGUUUGAACGGUUUCAUCAGAGCGAGGGAUGAAAGCAGAAAGCGGAGAAAGAGAAUAGUUCAGCACAGUUCCAAUCUGACGAGUCAGAUACACUGACACUCUCUUUCGUUCGACGCCACAAGGAUACCCCUGUUUGACUGGACAAGAGCUGCCUGUACCACCGUGUCAAAAGGCUGUCCAACUACAUGGCAGGACGAUGACUGAGGUGUGCUGAUCUUCAGAAGCUUGCGGAACUGAGUGCUGCUGAACAUUUGCAUGGCCAAGAGCAAUGGUGAAGCUUGCUAUUGCACUCUCAGCAUGUGCUAGUAUUAUGCUGACCACUGCACUAUGUUACUCUCUUACACUACUACGUGUAUGUAAACGUGCGUGUACCCGUCCCCGUAUGCAUUCGUUUCGUAUAAUUAUUUGUUAUCCCUCUUGACUUUACAUGUAAAUGGGUGGA